GAUGAACGCUGGCGGCGUGCCUAAUACAUGCAAGUCGAGCGAACAGACGAGGAGCUUGUUCCUCUGACGUUAGCGGCGGACGGGUGAGUAACACGUGGAUAACCUACCUAUAAGACUGGGAUAACUUCGGGAAACCGGAGCUAAUACCGGAUAAUAUAUUGAACCGCAUGGUUCAAUAGUGAAAGACGGUUUUGCUGUCACUUAUAGAUGGAUCCGCGCCGCAUUAGCUAGUUGGUAAGGUAACGGCUUACCAAGGCAACGAUGCGUAGCCGACCUGAGAGGGUGAUCGGCCACACUGGACCUGGGACACGGUCCAGACUCCUACGGGGGGCAGCAGUGGGGAAUCUUCCGCAAUGGGCGAAAGCCUGCCGAAGCAACGCCGCGUGAGUGAUGAAGGUCUUCGGAUCGUAAACUCUGUUAUUAGGGAAGAACAAAUGUGUAAGUAACUAUGCACGUCUUGACGGUACCUAAUCAGAAAGCCACGGCUAACUACGUG
rnacentral:rRNA from 1 species